AUUGAACGCUGGCGGCAGGCCUAACACAUGCAAGUCGAGCGCGCGCCGGACGGGUGAGUGUUGUCUAUGAAACUCCCUCUUGGAGGGGGAUAACUACUGUAAAAGGUGUCUAAUAUACCAUACCCUCUCAUCUGCCCACAUGGGAUUAGCUAGUAGGUGGGGUAAUGGCUCACCUAGGCGACGAUCCCUAUCUGGUCUGAGAGGAUGACCAGCCACACUGGAACUGAGACACGGUCCAGACUCCUACGGGAGGCAGCAGUGGGGAAUAUUGGACAAUGGGCGCAAGCCUGAUGCAGCCAUGCCGCGUGUGUGAAGAAGGCCUUCGGGUUAUAAAGCACUUUAAGCGGGGAGGCGUUACCCGCAGAAGAAGCACCGGCUAACUCCGUGCCAGCAGCCGCGGUAAUUC
rnacentral:rRNA from 1 species